CUACGGGUCGCACCAGUAAGGAAUAUUGCGCAAUGGAGGCAACUCUGACGCAGCCAUGCCGCGUGCAGGACUGAAGGCCUUAUGGGUCGUAAACUGCUUUUAUUUAGGAAUAGACUCUUGUACGUGUACGAGACUGAAGGUACUAAAUGAAUAAGCACCGGCUAACUCCGUGCCAGCAGCCGCGGUAAUACGGAGGGUGCAGCGUUAUCCGGAUUUAUUGGGUUUAAAGGGUGCGCAGGCGGACUAUUAAGUCAGAGGUGAAAUCCCGGAGCUCAACUUCGGAACUGCCUUUGAUACGGGUAGUCUUGAAUACGGUUGAAGUAGGCGGAAUGUAGCAUGUAGCGGUGAAAUGCAUAGAGAUGCUACAGAACACCGAUCGCGAAGGCAGCUUACUAAGCCGAUAUUGACGCUCAGGCACGAAAGCGUGGGGAGCGAACAGGAUUAGAUACCCUGGUAGUC
rnacentral:rRNA from 1 species